AUUGAACGCUGGCGGCAGGCCUAACACAUGCAAGUCGAGCGGUAACAGGGGAAGCUUGCUUCUCGCUGACGAGCGGCGGACGGGUGAGUAAUGUAUGGGGAUCUGCCCGAUAGAGGGGGAUAACUACUGGAAACGGUAGCUAAUACCGCAUAAUCUCUUAGGAGCAAAGCAGGGGAACUUCGGUCCUUGCGCUAUCGGAUGAACCCAUAUGGGAUUAGCUAGUAGGUGAGGUAAUGGCUCACCUAGGCGACGAUCCCUAGCUGGUCUGAGAGGAUGAUCAGCCACACUGGGACUGAGACACGGCCCAGACUCCUACGGGAGGCAGCAGUGGGGAAUAUUGCACAAUGGGCGCAAGCCUGAUGCAGCCAUGCCGCGUGUAUGAAGAAGGCCCUAGGGUUGUAAAGUACUUUCAGUCGGGAGGAAGGCGUUGAUGCUAAUAUCAUCAGCGAUUGACGUUACCGACAGAAGAAGCACCGGCUAACUCCGUGCCAGCCGCCGCCGUAA
rnacentral:rRNA from 1 species